rnacentral:ncRNA from 2 species
CAGGAAGCCGGUGCGAAUCCGGCACGGUCCCGCCACUGUGACCGGCGUCCCCAGGACGCCGGGAGCCAGGAACUG